rnacentral:misc_RNA from 1 species
UCCGGUUUGACACCGGCAGUCUCGCUAGAGUCCUCGCCAUGACGCGUUAGCAACUAGAGAUAGGGGUUUCGCUCGUUAAGGGACUUAACCCGACACUUCACAGCACGAGCUGACGACAGCCAUGCAGCACCUGUGCACGUUGUACCCGUGAGGGCCUGGCCGCGAUUUCUCGCGGUUAAUCCGUGCAUGUCAAGCCCAGGAUAAGGUUCUUCGCGUUGCUUCGAAUUAAGCCACAUGCUCCACCGCUUGUGUGAGCCCCCGUCAAUUCCUUUGAGUUUUAGCCUUGCGACCGUACUCCCCAGGCGGUGCACUUAACAAUUUUUCUUCGACCACGAUGGCGUCAGAGCCUCCGCGAUCUAGUGCACAUCGUUUAGGGCGUGGACUAC